GACGAACGCUGGCGGCGUGCUUAACACAUGCAAGUCGAACGGAAAGGCCCUGCUUUUGUGGGGUGCUCGAGUGGCGAACGGGUGAGUAACACGUGAGUAACCUGCCCUUGACUUUGGGAUAACUUCAGGAAACUGGGGCUCAUACCGGAUAGGAGCUCCUGCUGCAUGGUGGGGGUUGGAAAGUUUCGGCGGUCGGGUAUGGACUCGCGGCUUAUCAGCUUGUUGGUGGGGUAGUGGCUUACCAAGGCUUUGACGGGUAGCCGGCCUGAGAGGGUGACCGGCCACACUGGGACUGAGAUACGGCCCAGACUGCUACGGGAGGCAGAAGUGGGGAAUAUUGCACAAUGGGCGGAAGCCUGAUGCAGCAACGCCGCGUGCGGGAUGACGGCCUUCGGGUUGUAAACCGCUUUCGCCUGUGACGAAGCGUGAGUGACGGUAAUGGGUAAAGAAGCACCGGCUAACUACGUG
rnacentral:rRNA from 1 species